rnacentral:rRNA from 1 species
GACUGUGCUAAGGUAGCAUAAUAAAUUGGCUUUUAAUUAGAGUCGAGUAUGAAAGAGUAUACGGAUAAACCCUGUCUUAGGGAGAAUUUAGUGAAAUUUCUUGAAAAGGUGAAAAUUCCUUUAUGUUUAUGAGGGACGAGAAGACCCUCAGAGUUUUUAAUAUUUGGAUUAUAAAUUAUCCUUCUUUUUUUGUUGGGGCGACAUGGAAGCAGCAAUUAAAACCUUCUUUUUUAAUUCAGACAAGUGAAAUUAUUAUGUACGAUAAAGCUACCUGAGGGAUAACAGCAUAAUUUAAUUAUAAGAUUGUGACCUCGAUGUUGGACUAGGA